rnacentral:rRNA from 1 species
CCUACGGGGGGCUGCAGUGGGGAAUAUUGGGCAAUGGGCGCAAGCCUGACCCAGCAACGCCGCGUGAAGGAAGAAGGCUUUCGGGUUGUAAACUUCUUUUACCAGGGACGAAGCAAGUGACGGUACCUGAUGAAUAAGCCACGGCUAACUACGUGCCAGCAGCCGCGGCAAUACGUAGGUGGCAACCGUCAUCCGAAUUUACUGGGGGUAAGGGGCGUGUAGGCGGGGGUGCAAUUCAGAUGUGAAGACUAUGGGCUCAACCCAGAGCCUGAAUUGGAAACUGUACUUCUUGAGUGCGGGAGGGGCAAUCGGAAUUCCGGGUGUAGCGGUGAAAUGCGUAGAUAUACGGAGGAACACCGGUGGCGAAGGCAGGUUGCUGGACAGUAACUGACGCUGAGGCGCGAAAGCGUGGGGAGCGAACAGGAUUAGAUACCCCAGUAGUC